rnacentral:misc_RNA from 1 species
GACGACUGUGAGUGCUGCG